GGAAAUGUGCCUGAAUAAAAGGACUACUUUGAUAGAGUAAAUUAUGGGAGUUAAAGUCCCCCCAUUUCCU
rnacentral:tRNA from 2 species